ensembl:lncRNA
GAACCUCCACAUUAAAAGGAACUUUGAUUCAUUGGGUGUUUUGGGGUUUGGUUUUUAAUUUGGCAAUGAACCCCAAAGUGACCCCAAAAGUGGAGACCCCAAAAAGAUGGGAGACCCCAAAGCGACGGUGACAACCCCAAAGAUGGUGACCCCAAAACCCCAAAGAUGGCGACCCCAAAGAGGUGACUUCAAGAAGACAAUGACCCCAAAAAGCUGAUGACUCCAAGGAGGUGGUGACCCCAAAAAGAUGGUGAUCCCAAGAAGAGGAUGACCCCAAAACCUCAAAGAUGGUGACCCCAAGGAGAUGAUGAUCCCAAGAAAAUGAUAACCCCAAUAUGCCAACCACAAAGACAAUGACCCCAAGAAGACAAUGACCCCAAUGUGCCAACCCCAAAGAUGAUGACCCCAAGAAGACGAUGACCCCAAGGAGGCCCCAACCCCAAAGGCAGCAACCCCAAUAAGGUGAUGACCCCAAGAAGACAAUGACCCCAAGGAGGCCCCAACCCCAAAGACAGCGACCCCACGCAUCCGCCCACCCCCCAACCACCGCCCCCCAACCGCACCUCCUCCCUCACACCUCCGUAUCAAUGGUGGCCACGUGGGCGGCCGAUCGGCUCCCG